rnacentral:rRNA from 1 species
CAGCCGUAAACUAUGCGCGUUAGGUGUAUCGGUGACCACGAGUCACCGAGGUGCCGAAGGGAAACCGUGAAACGUGCCGCCUGGGAAGUACGGUCGCAAGGCUGAAACUUAAAGGAAUUGGCGGGGGAGCAACACAACGGGUGGAGCCUGCGGUUUAAUUGGACUCAACGCCGGGAAGCUCACCGGAUAAGACAGCGGAAUGAUUGCCGGGCUGAAGACUCUGCAUGACUAGCUGAGAGGUGGUGCAUGGCGUCAGUGACU